rnacentral:rRNA from 1 species
CAUGGCUCAGGAUGAACGCUAGCGGCAGGCCUAACACAUGCAAGUCGAGGGAGGAUCUUUCGGGCUUCGACCGGCAUAAGGGUGCGUAACGCGUAUACAAUCUGCCUGUCACGUAGGGAUAGCCCGAAGAAAUUUGGAUUAAUAACUAAUGGUAUAUAGUUGUGGCAUCACAUUUAUAUUAAAGCUGAGGCGGUGAAAGAUGAGUAUGCGUUCUAUUAGCUAGUUGGAGAGGUAAUGGCUCCCCAAGGCUACGAUAGAUAGGGGUUCUGAGAGGGAUAUCCCCCACACUGGUACUGAGAUACGGACCAGACUCCUACGG